UACGUAGGGUGCAAGCGUUAAUCGGAAUUACUGGGCGUAAAGCGUGCGCAGGCGGUUGUGCAAGACAGAUGUGAAAUCCCCGGGCUUAACCUGGGAAUUGCAUUUGUGACUGCACGGCUAGAGUGUGUCAGGAGGGGGGUAGAAUUCCACGUGUAGCAGUGAAAUGCGUAGAUAUGUGGAGGAAUACCGAUGGCGAAGGCAGCCCCCUGGGAUAACACUGACGCCUCAUGCACAAGAAGUGGC
rnacentral:rRNA from 1 species